rnacentral:lncRNA from 1 species
UUUUUUUUUUCUCUUGACCUCGUGAUCCGCCCAUCUUGGCUUCUGAAAGUGCUGGGAUUACAGGCAUGAGCCACCACGCCCAGCUGGUGGAGUUUUUUCUUUAUUCUUCUCCACAUAGAACUUGGACUUACCCCAUCCCUAGGUAACCCAUCCCUUCCCACAACACGCUGCAGGACUUUGACUAGUGAGGAGAUAGGAAAGGCGUUAUAUGAACUGGUCCAAUGGGAAACUCCUUGUGGCUCAAAGAACUUAUAUCAGAAACCAGGAGUGAAACAAUAGGACACCAAAGACAAAAUCUAACCUGAAGUCAGAUGGAAGCCCAUGAGGCUGUUGGUUUAGCAACCUAGCUCUGGUAACUGAGGGAGAGAAGAAGGGAGAACAUGCCAAGUGGAGGAAAGUGAUGAACAGUUGUGGGUAGGUGAGAAAGAAUGACCUGUGCAAGGAACAGUCAGCAACACAGGGAAUUAGGAAAGAGGGAGAAGAUAGGGAAAGGGAAGACCAGAGCUACCCAGUCCUUCCUCUGCCAGAUGCCUUGUAUAUAUUACCACUUCCUGAGCAGAGGGAUUAGUCUCCUUUAAUAAAUAUCAUAACUGAAGCUCAGAGAAACUGAGUGAACAACAAAACAAGAAGUUAAACCCAGGACCCUGAAUUCCAAAUCCCCUGUUCCUUCCACUUUCAAUGGUUUCCAAACAAUACCCUGCAAAAUCAGUAUCAGUCUGGCUGCUCAGAAUCACCUGGAGAACUUCUUUAAAAUUCAUAGUUCAUAAUCCCUGGCCUCAUCCUAGUCCUACUGGAUCAGAAUCUCUGGGAGAGAGGAUCAGGAAACAGGAUUUAUUCAUAAGCUCCUUAGGUGGUCCUGUGUUGCAGCCAGGUUUGAGGACUAAUAUAUUAGGACUAUCACAUCGACUUCAACAUAUUUGUAGGGGAGGACGGAAAUGAACUGCUAUUUUCCGAGCACCUACUUUGCUUUACUUUAUUACAAAUACCUCCUGGGCACAGUUCUAAGUAUAUUAUCAUGCAUUGCGUUUCCUCGACAUGGUUGUGAGAUUGGCAUCAUCUUCACACUAGUGAGCAAGCUGAGGACAGUUGUGUGACGCCCUGAAAGACUUUAGCUAGUAAGGAUCAGAGCUGGAAUCCAGACGCCAAUCUACUGGACUCCUGGUUCCUAGUCUUAGUACCUUCCCACACCACUAAAUAUCCCACACCACACCUUAUGAUAGUGGGAGGAGGAGGAAGGGAUCAAGAUACUGCAGGUAAUAGGAAUAAUUGUGUAACAAUUUAACAGAAAGAUCCACAGGAGUGGCCCAGACUGUGGAAAAUGUUGACUGGGAAAGCGAGUGUGAGGGAAGCUGAGGAAUGGGUCCAGGGGCACGUGGGCUCGCCCAGCAUUUCCUGAUCCCUGUCUAGUGAGACUUUAGCUGACUUCGAGAAGGGGCCUGUAUUCCAAGGGGCUGGCUCCCUCUUGUGGCAGCUGCCGCUCAUCACCAAACGCUGUGACCAGGUAGCCC